UACGUAGGGUGCGAGCGUUGUCCGGAAUUAUUGGGCGUAAAGAGCUCGUAGGCGGUCUGUCGCGUCGAUCGUGAAAACUUGGGGCUUAACCCUGAGCUUGCGGUCGAUACGGGCAUGACUGGAGUUCGGCAGGGGAGACUGGAAUUCCUGGUGUAGCGGUGAAAUGCGUAGAGAUCGGGAGGAACACCAGAGGCGAAGGCGGCGACCUGGACAGUUACUGACACUCAACUACGAAAGCGUGGGGAGCAAACAGG
rnacentral:rRNA from 1 species